ACAUGGGUGCCAGAUAAAAUGGGUUGGUUUUAAGCAUCAAAUAUGAGGGUUUCUCCCCGUGUA
rnacentral:tRNA from 2 species